UACGGGAGGCACCAGUGGGGAAUAUUGCACAAUGGGCGAAAGCCUGAUGCAGCUAUGCCGCGUGUAUGAAGAAGGCCUUAGGGUUGUAAAGUACUUUCAUCGGGGAGGAAAAAACAAAACUAAUAAUUUUAUUUCUUGACGUUACCCGAAAAAGAAGCACCGGCUAACUCCGUGCCAGCAGCCGCGGUAAUACGGAGGGUGCUAGCGUUAAUCAGAAUUACUGGGCGUAAAGAGCACGUAGGUGGUUUUUUAAGUCAGAUGUGAAAUCCCUGGGCUUAACCUAGGAACUGCAUUUUGAAACUGAAAUACUAGAGUAUCGUAGAGGGAGGUAGAAUUCUAGGUGUAGCGGUGAAAUGCGUAGAUAUCUGGAGGAAUACCUGUGGCGAAAGCGGCCUCCUAAACGAAUACUGACACUGAGGUGCGAAAGCGUGGGGAGCAAACAGGGAUUAGAUACC
rnacentral:rRNA from 1 species